UUUUCACGCAAGAUUACGGGAGGCGACAGUAGGGAAUCUUGCCGCAAUGGGCGAAAGCCUGACGCAGCGACGCCGCGUGAGGGAUGAAGGCCUUUGGGUCGUAAACCUCUGUCGGAGGGGAAGAAAUUUUGACGGUACCCUCCAAGGAAGCCCCGGCUAACUACGUGCCAGCAGCCGCGGUAA
rnacentral:rRNA from 1 species